UUUUUUUCCUCUCGCACUCUGAAGAUGAAAAGACGUCAAAGAGAGAAGAAGAUCUGACCUGAGAAGACAAACUGACCUGGAGCUGACCUCAACCUGUGAAUCUGCUGGAAAUCAUCACUUGUUAAAAAGGAGAACCAUCAGUUUCUUUUGUCUUUGGGGAGCUAUAACCCUUGGUCUUUGGAACUUAAUUUGAGAUAGAAAAACUCAAUGGAGUUGGAAAUUGGAAGAAGGACAAGGCGUGCGGAUGUUUUUAUCUUGCAAUAACUUUGUGCUAGUUGCUCUCAAGUUCCUUCCACACAAGUGGCCUAUAGAAGCAAAUAUAUGUGCAUAGCUUGUUAGGAGCCACAAAAGAAAAUAAUGUAUUGUUGUUUUCUCUCUGUGCCAACUUCAGACACUGAUCCACACCUUAUGAAUUAUGAGUAAAAAUGUGUAUAUCACAUGCUUGUCAAUGAAAAUUUGUGGAAUGUUUCUUAUGAUUUUUACAGUAA